AAACUCUAUCCAGCACUGAUAAGUGCCAUCUAGCAGUGUCAUGACCUGACUUUCAUUUAUUUUUUUGCUUGUACGUCCUUGUAGGCUGCUGCUGCAGCAACACCUCCACCAGUGUGCUGCUGUCAGAGGGCACGGACAGAUCCUCCUUCCACUGUUUCACUGAUGUACAACAAAGAAAACAGGUUCAGGAUGUGGACCUUAAUGUUUCUUUAUAUCCUGACACUAAACAUCCGUCAGGUUGCUGGAGACGACUCUACACAGAUGCUUUAUGUCAAACUGACAAUAGAUGAAAGUGCGCUGCGUAACCUCACACUCCCGUCUCCUUUUACCACUAAUGAAGUUAACGUUGAUGGCUUUAAAAUGACAACAAGUAAGCAACUCUCUAAUACUUCUUAUGGUGCAUGUUCUGAUUGAUUUUAACUGGGGAAAAUAUUUUAAAUCCAAAAUCAAACCUAAA
rnacentral:lncRNA from 1 species